CCUCAGUACCUGCUGAGGUGCUCUGCAAUUUCUCCAAAGUCCUGGCCCAAUUCUAAAUGGAAAGAACAACAGAGUUGGAUCAGGGACGCAGAAGAAGGGAUGCCUCCCUGAGGGGAUGACUGGCUAAUAUGCUGCAACUGGAUAGCUGAAUUCUCCAAGUCCCAAGCUGAUAUAAGUUAAAAAAUUUAGCAGCAGAAGAAAAACAACCCUGGGUCACUAGCACCAGGGUCUACUCAAGAGAAAAUAAAUUGGACUAAGAGUGACUGAGAUUUUAAUAACUGGAAAUGACUGGAAAGCUAUAGAAAUCUGCUCAGAUAUCCUUAGGAGAUCUGUUACCCAGAAGGAAG
ensembl:lncRNA